rnacentral:lncRNA from 1 species
AUGUAAACUAUGGAGAGAUAGAGACAGAAUUAGUUGUAUGCAAUGAGUUGAUUUCAAUUGUAUUUGUUUUAAAUUUUGUUAUCACAUCUGAUUGAUUAGAUAGAAACUGGAAAAUAUGAUUGUGUAAUUUUUCCGUGGAGGUAAGGAGGUAGGAAAUUGUUGUUGUAACUUGAUGAAAAAGAUAAGGAGUAGGCUAAUGACGAAGAUGGAAAAGAAGAAACAGAAAAAGAAGAUAACAACAACACGAUAAGAAUAUGAAGAAGAAAUUCCGAUGGAACAGCAAUAGCAGAUGAAGAAGAGAAGAAGAAGAAGUAAGGAGGCAUUAUUCUGUUUGACCUUCACCUCACGUUUUCUCCUUCUUUGAAUCUCUGUUUCUCCGUUUGUGUAUCUGUUUAUCUGAUUCAAUCUUUUCUUCCUUUUUUUCAACACCACCUUAGUCCUUUUCCCAUCCAGACCCUCUGCAUAAGAUCAACAUCCUUUUCCUCUUCAAAAACACUCUAAAAAUGACUUGUUUUGUGUAAUUCAAAACACUCUCUGAAAACACUUUUUUUUCUUUCAACACAAUCACAACACAGACACACACUUUUAGAAGUUAAUGUUGAUGAAAUGCUCCACUCUUGCAUGUGCUACACAAUUCUUCCACCGAUGACCAAAGCAACCACAUAGUCUCCUUCUCCUCAAGUAAUCAUGGUGAUGCCCUCUUUUCAACAAAUGAAUGGGCAUGUAACUCACUGGAUAUUUGCUAUUUCAAUAUUUUGGAAAGAAGGUGAAAUGAAAUGAGUUGCAACACAGAAAAGAAAAAAAGUUGCCUCCUUCUUGACUGAAGAAGUAGAAAAAAAAGUUGUUCGAAAUAUACAACAUGUAUGCAGAAACCUAAAAAAAAAAAAUUAUAUAUAUAUUCUCCCCAAUAGAGAGCCCGGUAUGCCUGACGUCAGAAUUAUAGAAAGUCGCUCGCCCGAAAAGUGGAAGAGGAAUAUCAAAAAUAAGCUCCCUUAAAAAAAAUUGGGUACCUGAAAAUUUGUUAGGAUACUUGUAAAAAAAAGCAAAAAAAAAAAAAAAAAGGCAUCCAUAUUUUUUUCUUCUGCUUUUUCUACUUAUAGGUAGAAAUGUAAACUCUCUCCAAGAGUUGUUUAAUGGUUUUGAAAAUACUACUCAUACAAUUUGUACCUAUAUGUAGUUACCUAAGUAUAUAUUAAUAAAUACAUGCUCGAAAUACAA